GUGCCAGCCGCCGCGGUAAUACGUAGGGUGCGAGCGUUAAUCGGAAUUACUGGGCGUAAAGCGUGCGCAGGCGGUUCGUGAAGUCCGAUGUGAAAGCCCCGGGCUCAACCUGGGAAUGGCAUUGGAAACUGGCGGGCUAGAGUGUGGCAGAGGGGGGUGGAAUUCCUGGUGUAGCAGUGAAAUGCGUAGAGAUCAGGAGGAACACCGAUGGCGAAGGCAGCCCCCUGGGCUGACACUGACGCUCAGGCACGAAAGCGUGGGGAGCAAACAGGAUUAGAAACCCCCGUAGUCC
rnacentral:rRNA from 1 species